AUGACUUUGAUAACAAGUCCUGGCAACCAGCCUCCAGCCUCUUACUUGACAUGGGCCUCAGGGCGCUACUACGUGCACAAAUGCUUCUGUUGGGCUAUUUAUCCGUCCAACAGGUUGCUCAUGCUUGACAGGCGCACCAUGGAGUUCUCUCAUGUCGACCUCCCAUGUCAACGUGUACCUAGCCAAAUGAUCCCAAUAAUGGCUUUUGUAGAGGCAGGGGAAGGAAUGCUUGGGAUGUUUGCUCUCGUGAGUUGA
rnacentral:rRNA from 1 species